AUGAGCCCUAAAACCCUGGCAGCCUUACUUCUUCUCCCCACCCCGCGCGGCGCCUCCUUUCCUCUCCUCCACUCGCCGCCGCCGCCGCCGCCAGCGCCUCCUCCACCGCCGCUCGUCCUCCUAUACACAGGUGCGGAGGAGAUGUUGGUGCUCUUCGAGACGCCCGCGGGGUUCGCCCUCUUCAAGGUGCUGGACGAGGGGAAGCUCAGCAAAGUCGAGGAUCUGUGGCAGGACUUCGCCUCGUCGGACAAAGCAAGAAAGGUGGUUGAGCUGAAGGCUUUCAACAAGUUUGAAAACACCUCCGAUGCUCUUUCAGCGGCUACUUUGCUAAUUGAUAGCAAGCCCAGCAAGGGUCUGCGCAAGUUCCUGCAGAAGCACUGUGAUGGUGAAACAUUGGCUGUUGCUGAUUCUAAACUUGGGAAUGCUAUCAAAGAAAAGCUGAAAAUUGAUUGCCUUCACAACAGUGCUGUCAUGGAGCUGAUGAGAGGGCUGAGGAACCAGCUUACCGAACUUAUGUCUGGACUAGCUGAACAUGAUCUAGGUCCAAUGAGCCUAGGAUUGUCCCACAGCUUGUCUAGGUAUAAGCUGAAGUUCAGCCCUGAAAAGGUUGAUACUAUGAUCAUUCAGGCCAUUGGCUUGUUGGAUGAUCUUGACAAGGAGCUUAACACUUAUGCUAUGAGGGUCCGCGAAUGGUACGGUUGGCACUUUCCGGAGCUCACGAAAAUUGUUGCAGAUAAUAUCCAUUACGCGAAAGCUGUGAAGAUGAUGGGCAAUCGUGUUAAUGCAGUGAACCUUGACUUCUCUGAGAUACUGCCAGAAGAUGUGGAAGCAGAGCUGAAGGAGGCAGCUGUAAUUUCCAUGGGAACAGAAGUCAAUGAUCUUGACCUCUCAAACAUCAGGGAACUGUGUGAUCAAGUCCUGGCUCUUUCUGAGUACAGAGCCCAGCUCUAUGACUAUCUAAAAAGUAGGAUGAAUACCAUUGCUCCCAACUUGACUGCACUUGUUGGUGAACUUGUUGGCGCUCGCCUUAUUGCACAUGGUGGUAGUUUGAUGAAUCUGGCAAAGCAGCCUGGCAGCACGAUUCAGAUUCUGGGGGCAGAGAAGGCCUUAUUCAGAGCUCUGAAGACAAAGCAUGCUACACCAAAGUAUGGUCUCAUCUAUCAUGCAUCAUUAAUUGGACAGGCGGCUCCGAAGCACAAGGGAAAGAUCUCUCGUUCGCUUGCAGCUAAGAGUGCACUUGCCAUAAGAUACGACGCCCUUGCUGACGGUGAUGAUAACUCCAUGGGUCUUGAAAGCAGGAUCAAGCUUGAAACACGGCUUCGGGUUCUUGAGGGUAAAGAACUUGGGAGGUCUGCUGGUUCCACGAAAGGAAAGCCCAAGAUUGAAGCGUAUGAAAAGGACCGGAAGGGUGGUGGUGCUCUGAUCACUCCCGCUAAAACUUACAACUCAGCAGCAGAUCUAGUGCUCGGACAAACCACUGAAGAAACGCCAAAGAAGUCAGAAGUUGCUUCAAAGAAGAGGAAGCACCAAGAGGAAGAACCUACUGCAGAGGCAGCUGAAGAGGACGGCGAGCAGGAGAAAGAGAGGUCCAAGAAGAAGAAGAAGAAAUCCAAGGACAUCGAGGAGACUCCAGCAGACGUCACCGACGCCAGCGAGAAGAAGAAAAAGAAGAGCAAGGAGGCCGAGGAGACCCCUGCAACUGACGCCGACGGCGGGAAGAAGAAAAAGAAGAAGAAAUCAGACGCUGAGGACACCCCCAUGGAGACCGACGUAUCUGCCAAGAAGGAAAAGAAGAAGAAGAAGAAGAAGCACGCUGACGAGUGA
rnacentral:rRNA from 1 species